ncrna:unclassified sequences Type-P5 twister ribozyme ribozyme sequence
CGCAGAGUGACGGAGCGGGGAGAAAUCCCCACUCCGGUAAUGCGGGAGCCCGGUCACAACCCCGG